rnacentral:rRNA from 1 species
UACGGGGGGAGCAAGCGUUGUUCGGAUUUACUGGGCGUAAAGGGCGCGUAGGCGGCGCAACAAGUCACUUGUGAAAUCUCCGGGCUUAACUCGGAGCGGCCAAGUGAUACUGUCGUGCUAGAGUGCGGAAGGGGCAACUGGAAUUCUCGGUGUAGCGGUGAAAUGCGUAGAUAUCGAGAGGAACACCUGCGGCGAAGGCGGGUUGCUGGGUCGACACUGACGCUGAGGCGCGAAAGCCAGGGGAGCGAACGGG